rnacentral:rRNA from 1 species
UACAGAGGGGGCAAGCGUUAUUCGGAAUUAUUGGGCGUAAAGGGCGCGUAGGCGGCCUGGCAAGUGGAAGGUGAAAUCCCUCAGCUUAACCGAGGAACUGCCCUCCAAACUGCUUGGCUUGAGUCCGGGAGAGGUGAGUGGAAUUCCCAGUGUAGCGGUGAAAUGCGUAGAUAUUGGGAGGAACACCAGUGGCGAAGGCGGCUCACUGGACCGGAACUGACGCUGAGGCGCGAAAGCGUGGGGAGCGAACAGG